rnacentral:rRNA from 1 species
GAUGAACGCUAGCGGCAGGCCUAACACAUGCAAGUCGAGGGGUAACAUUAGGAAAGCUUGCUUUUCUGAUGACGACCGGCGCACGGGUGCGUAACGCGUAUACAACCUACCUUUUAGCGGGGAAUAGCCCAGGGAAACUUGGAUUAAUGCCCAUAGUAUAUGGACUUCUCCUGAAGUUUAUAUUAAACAUUUAUGGCUAUUAGAUGGGUAUGCGUCCUAUUAGUUAGUUGGUAAGGUAACGGCUUACCAAGGCAGCGAUAGGUAGGGGUCCUGAGAGGGAGAUCCCCACACUGGUACUGAGACACGGACCAGACUCCUACGGGAGGCAGCAGUGAGGAAUAUUGGACAAUGGGCGAGAGCCUGAUCCAGCCAUGCCGCGUGCAGGAAGACUGCCCUAUGGGUUGUAAACUGCUUUUACAGAGGAAGAACCACCCCCACGUGUGGGGGGUUUGACGGUACUCUGCGAAUAAGGAUCGGCUAACUCCGUG